GUCUAUAUGAAGUUAUAUGUAGUUUAACUCGCCUGUUUUUACAAAAACAUAGUCUUUUGGUUUUUGAUGAAAGGUGGUUUCUGCUCAGUGAUUUUAAACAGCCGCGGUAAUUUGACCGUGCGAAGGUAGCAUAAUCAUUUGCUCCAUAAUUUGGGGCUUGUAUGAAUGGAGUCACAAGGGACUUUCUGUCUUAAAAAAAUAUUUGGAAUUUGUUUUUAUUGUGAAGAAACAAUAAUUUGGUAAAGGGACAAGAAGACCCUUUUGAUCUUGACUUUUUAGAGGUGAUAUGUUUUUAAAGAAGUUUGGUUGGGGCGACCAAGGAAGAAAAAUAAAUCUUCCUUAAUUUAAGUACUUUAGGUCCAGAGUUUUUGAUGAAAGGAUUAAGUUACCAAAGGGAUAACAGCGUAAUUUUUUUUGUGAGUUCUUAUUAAAAAAAGAGAUUGCGACCUCGAUGUUGACUUAUUAUUUUCCUUUUGGUGCAGUAGCUAUAUGGGAGGGUCUGUUCGACCUUUAAUUUUUU
rnacentral:rRNA from 1 species